rnacentral:rRNA from 1 species
GACAGAGGCCUCAAGCGUUAUCCGGAAUCACUGGGCGUAAAGCGUCUGUAGGUGGUUUAAUAAGUCAACUGUUAAAUCUUGAGGCUCAACCUCAAAAUCGCAGUCGAAACUAUUAGGCUAGAGUAUAGUAGGGGUAAAGGGAAUUUCCAGUGGAGCGGUGAAAUGCGUAGAGAUUGGAAAGAACACCGAUGGCGAAGGCACUUUACUGGGCUAUUACUAACACUCAGAGACGAAAGCUAGGGUAGCAAAUGGG